rnacentral:tRNA from 1 species
GGAGAUGUACCCAAGUGGCUGAAGGGUCUGCACUCGAAAUGCAGUAGGUCGGGCAACUGGCGCGAGGGUUCAAAUCCCUCCAUCUCCG